rnacentral:rRNA from 1 species
GUCUACGGCCACGCCACCCUGAACGUGCCCGAUCCCGUCUGAUCUCAGAAGCUAAGCAGGGCCGGGCCUGGUUAGUACUUGGAUGGGAGACCACCUAGGAAGUCCAGGUGCUGUAGACA